UGAACUCUAUAGUCGAUAGGAUCGCAAAGAGUCGGAUAUGACUGAGCCACUUUCACAUCAGCGUAAGACCGCAUCUUUCCGCCUGCAAUUUACUUACUACCCUGCUUUCCUGUUGCAGAAAUGUGAGGAGGAUGACACCGGAAGUCACACUGCACUGAGCGUGGCUCCUUGACACUACCUCAUUUCCGGCGGGCUGGCCUGGCACCGUCCCGACCCUAGCCGGAAGUGUGUCGGCUUCAGUUCCGCUUUUGCGCCGUCCCGCAGCCUUUGCCCUCGUUGAGGAGGGACUUCCUGUCUCGUGUGUCCAAGUUCCUCCAAAGUUAGGCUUGGCACGGAGGGCCUGUGUGUCAAGUGGUGUGUCGGCGGAUAUGGCCGCAAAUUAACUCGGGGCUAGUGUAAAGAUACUUGCCCAUUCCUCUUGCAGUUACCCCCACCACACCUCCGUGAGGCCUUGGCCUCCUAAGCGCCCAAGCGAGUGUCUGUCGACAGGUUCGGAGAGGAUCAUGGAGGCGCGGCCGCUGGCCCCACGGAGCUUCCUCUGCAGGACGCUGAGUCCUUUUCCUCGGGUCUUUGCUGCCGAAGCUGUGCCCGCCGAUCCCAAGGCUCUUGUAGAGGACCAGGAACUGUCUUCCUUCGUCUCAGAACCCCAAUACCCGGAAUCCGGAUGGGACCGCCUCCGGGAGCUGUUUGUCAAAGAUGAACAGCAGAGAACUUCAAAAGAACUUCAGGAUAUUUACAAGGCAGCAAUUUCAGCAGGCAUCAUCGGCUGGGCAUAUGGGGGAAUACCAGCAUUUAUUCAUGCUAAACAGCGCUACAUUGAGCAGAGCCAAGCAGAAGUUUACCGCAACCAGCUUGAUGCUGUGCAAUCUGCCCAUCGUGCUGCUACACGAGGCUUCAUCCGGUAUGGCUGGCGCUGGAGUUGGAGAACAGCCAUGUUUGUGACUAUAUUCAAUACAGUUAACACUGGUCUAAAUGUUUACCGAAAUAAAAAUGCCUUAAGUCAUUUUGUCAUUGCAGGAGCUGUCACAGGAAGUCUUUUUAGAAUAAACUUAGGCCUGCAUGGCCUAGUAGCUGGUGGCAUAAUUGGAGCCUUGCUGGGCACUCCUAUAGGAAGCCUAUUGAUGGCACUUCAGAUAUACUGUGGUGAGACAGUUCAGGAGAGAAAACAGAAGGAUCGAAAAGCAUUCCAGGAGCUGAAACUGGAAGAACGGAAAGCCAGACUACAAUUUACUGACCUCCUUCCUGAAGAAAUUGAAAGUAAUUUACAGAAAGAUCGAUCCAAGGAUGACGCUCAGAAAAUUGAAGCACUGCUAAAUCUUCCUAGAAACCCUUCAUCAACAGAUAAAUAAGACAAAGACUAAACAUGCUCUGGACUUGAAACUCAGUGGAGAAUUGAAGGGAGCUAUGUCACCAUGUCUAUAGCAUGCCAGUUGCUUGGGCUGCUGACACAUGCCUAAAGAAUUCCAUGUUUCCAAAUCCUUGGGCAAGGUCACCAGAACUACUUCUGUCCCCAUCAUACUCCUCUAGUCACUUUCAGCAAAGCCACUGGAGUGAAGGGGCUCCUAGAGAACAGAUACAGGAAGGUCGAGGUGGGAUAACCCUGGCUGUUCGCGGAAGCACCAAGAAGAGGCCAAUCUCAGAUGGAGGUAGGACCUGAAGAAAACAUUUAAAAAUUUUUUUAUAUUUUUUUAUUGCAAGGGUAUUCCCCACUUGAGGUACCAUUAUAGAUACUAAUCUUGAUGGCUAAACGACAUAAAGGCAGGUCUAAAGUAUGAGAGAAUUUAGGACAGGUCUGACGAAUUUUACUACAGAAAAUAUUGCAUUAUUAUGCACCAGCAGUCACCAACCAACCAAAUAUUAUCAAUAAAGGUGCGCACUCAGCUGUGUGUGGGACAAAGGUGUAUCAGGCAUGCUUGCUCUUCUCAGUAAGCCUAUAAUUUGGUAAAGAAUGAAAAUAAACCCAGGGUGGAGAGUGAUGUGCCUGAGAGAACACAACUAUGGCGGUCAGAGGCAGAGCUGCUUGAACUGGACAGCAUGGCCACAGAAGACUUGUGUAGGGGAUUGGGUUCCUGGCUUCCUUCAGCUGACUGAGCAGAAAACUUUUAAGAUGGAAGGAAGGUCAGGGAAAUGCAAGGUAAUUGCAGAACUGAGGGGAACAGCCUGGGAAGGGCAUCCUGGGGAAUGAGUAAGUUGUAAAGAAAGCAGAAUUGGAAGCUGAGAGACUGCUGUGGGGGAAUUACACAUAGGCUGCUAUGGAGCCGUGAAAGGAAUCUGAGCUUGAUGUCCAGUUUGGGUUCUAGUUUUGCUCUUUAUCUGUCUGACUUCAGGCAGAUCACUGAAGGUCUUGGAGGCUUGAGUUUCUCUCCGUAAAACCGAUCUUGCUCAGAUCACCAGCCCAGGUUGGAUGCAUGAGAUGAGUGCUCAGGGCUGGUGCACUGGGAAGA